rnacentral:rRNA from 1 species
UGCCAGCCGCCGCGGUAAUACGGAGGGGGUUAGCGUUGUUCGGAAUUACUGGGCGUAAAGCGCACGUAGGCGGACUGGAAAGUUAGGGGUGAAAUCCCGGGGCUCAACCUCGGAACUGCCUUUGAUACUGCAAGUCUAGAGUCCGAGAGAGGUGAGUGGAAUUCCUAGUGUAGAGGUGAAAUUCGUAGAUAUUCGGAGGAACACCAGUGGCGAAGGCGGCUUUCUGGACCGAUACUGACGCUGAGACGCGAAAGCGUGGGGAGCAAACAGGAUUAGAUA